rnacentral:lncRNA from 1 species
GCUGAAUUAACACAAUGUAAUAACAACCUCGCCGAGGAAAUAGAAUUGGUAAACAAACAAGCUAAUCAAGACCAAAUAAUACACAACAAACCUUCAUCUUUGUCUCCACUAAGAGAAAAGCCUGAAGUAGAGAGCCAGCCAGAGCAAACUAAAAGAAAUAUCUACCAUUUAAUGACACCCAUUGCAAAUAAGAGACCUUGUAACAUACUGGAUCAAGGACAGAGCAAGCAUUUUGAAAAUUCCAGACACGGUCAGGAAGAUAUUAUAAAACAAAUUAACACCUGGACUAUAGAGCUGCCUUUGAUUAAGAACUUUCUGGCAGACUGUAAGACCUUACUAACGACACUCUCUGAAAUAACGUUAAAAAUUUUAGGUAUUGUUGAGACCAAUGCUUCUAAAAAGGAAAAUUCCUUAAAAGAUUUAUCCUUAGNGCCAGCCAGGACCAAUCAUCAAACAAGUAGGAAAACCAAGGUGAAGGAACAAAAACUCUCCCAAAACAAAAGCAAAAAUUUAAAAAACAUAAAAAACCAGAGAGGCUCAANGGCUACGAAAACGAACUUCUCCAGACUAUUUGCCANCUUGGAAAAAAAGGAUCAAAUGGACAAUAAAAAACAGCAUGAAAACCAACACAAGAAAUCAAUGUCAUCUGUAAAAAACACCAGAGACAAUUCUACCAUAAACAGUAAUGAAAAAUCACUGGAACAAAACACCAACUAUAAUAUCAAGGAAAUUGGAGAUGUAAAUAAUNACACAAAGCUUCUGGAAAUGANCCUAAAUGUCCACAAUGAGGAAAGGAGCAAAAAAAAUACCUCGGCUCAUCAUCGUAAUCCUGAUUAUAAAUCCUUCAGCCCACCUCCCUUGACAUCAAUAAAAUAUAAAAAAUCUUGGAAUUUAAAACUUAUACCAACAAAGUUGGUCUUUAUAAACUAUCCCAAACCCCAGGGCUUCCUCUCACAAAGAGAACGAAANCAGCAUCUUAUAAAUCUUUUCUAUCGUGCCACCUUAGAAUGGAUUCCAUUUGAAGAGGUUAUAAAGGUGGAAUACCUGUUUUACAACCAUGUAAGGGCAAGAGCCAUAAUAACCUUUGCUUCAGAAGAAACAGCAAGAAAGGUGUUUGGUCUCAAGUACCUCAUGGCUCAUAAGAAAAUUGGUAUCACAAGAUUUUACUGGGACCAGCCCUGUACAUCGGUUAAAUAUACCUACACCAAAGAAGAAGGAAAAACUAGUGGAAAAGAUGAUAAUAUGUCACCAGAGGAGCUAACCCUGAUAACAACUUUCACCAAAUUACCUGCUUCAGA